AAAUUGAAGAGUUUGAUCAUGGCUCAGAUUGAACGCUGGCGGCAGGCCUAACACAUGCAAGUCGAACGGUAACAGGAAGCAGCUUGCUGCUUUGCUGACGAGUGGCGGACGGGUGAGUAAUGUCUGGGAAACUGCCUGAUGGAGGGGGAUAACUACUGGAAACGGUAGCUAAUACCGCAUAACGUCGCAAGACCAAAGAGGGGGAGCUUCGGGCCUCUUGCCAUCGGAUGUGCCCAGAUGGGAUUAGCUAGUAGGUGGGGUAA
rnacentral:rRNA from 1 species